GACGAACGCUGGCGGCGUGCUUAACACAUGCAAGUCGAACGGAAGGGCCUGCUUUCCCUUGUGGAUUGCGGGUACUCGAGUGGCGAACGGGUGAGUAACACGUGAGUGAUCUGCCCCCAACUUGGGUAUAAGCCUGGGAAACUGGGUCUAAUUCCCGAUAGGACUGCAGGGUGGUGCCUGUGGUGGAAAACGAUUUUCUAGUGGUUGGGGAUGAGCUCGCGGCCUAUCAGCUUGUUGGUGGGGUAAUGGCCUACCAAGGCGGCGACGGGUAGCCGGCCUGGGAGGGUGGACGGCCACAUUGGGACUGAGAUACGGCCCAGAAGCCUACGGGAGGCAGCAGUGGGGAAUAAUGCACAAUGGGCGGAAGCCUGAGGCAGCGACGCCGCGUGGGGGAUGACGGGCUUCGGGUUGUAAACUCCUGUCGACCGAGAGGAAGCCACCUGGUUGGAAGGGUGGUGACGGUAGUGGUAGAAGAAGCACCGGCUAACUACGUG
rnacentral:rRNA from 1 species